rnacentral:rRNA from 1 species
AUGGAAGCAGAACUCACAGCACUAGAUACAGCUACGGUCGAAGCAGAUUGGCUUCGCCGGCUCUUGAAUGACUUGCCGGUUGUUGAGAAACCUAUACCGGGUAUCCUUAUGAACUGCGACAAUCAAACUGUGAUCAAGAAAGUGAGCAGCUCAAAGGAUAACAUGAAGUCAUCAAGAAACGUUCAGAGAAGGUUAAAGUCUGUCAGAAAAAUGAGAAACUCCGGAGUUAUUGCAUUGGAUUAUAUCCAAACUUCUAAAAAUCUGGCAGAUCCUUUUACUAAGGGUCUAUCACGUAAUGUGAUAGAUAAUGCAUCGAGGGAGAUGGGUAUGAGACCCACA